UUUAAGUUUUUAGCUUAAUGUUCUACUGUAUUUUUAACAAAAACAAAAAGUUUACCCGUAAAUAUGUCCACUAGCACUACUAUUGAAAUUAGUGAGCGUCAUUUGAAUACUGUGUACCUGAAUGGAUUAGAUUUUUUACAGGUUCAGAACACUACAACAGAUUCUGAAUUUCAAGAUGACAAGAUGGAACUGGUACCACUUACUCCACAAUACUCUGAGACUUCAUUAUACAGUUUUAACGAUGACAUCUUAGAAUCAUCAUUACCACACUUAAAUCCAACAAAAAUUCGAUAUGCUGUUAUAAUCAUUAGUUCUAUUGUAUUUUUUUUUCAAACAUUUUCUCAGUCAGUUUGGAAUCCUAUAUUUGAACAAACUUUAGAAGCUUUCCCUUAUUGGACUUCGAAAUCUCUGGCUUUAUUACCAAUAUGGGGUAGCGUUAUGAGUGUAAUUUUGGUGUUUCCAGCUUGUAUGGUAAUCAACAAAUAUGGACUUAAAAAUAGUUUGCUAUGGUCUUGUUCUAUUUUUACAAUAGGUACAUUGGUGCGGUGUUUACCAAUCAUGUAUUACUCACCAGCGUAUUUACAUUUGUCUGCAGCUUUUUUAUCCGCCGGAAGCGUUUUUAUGAGUCCUUUAAUGAUUACUAUUUCUACUCAAUGGUUUCCUAAGAAUGAAAGAAAUAUGGCCAUUGCUGUUGGUUCGGCUGGUGGAAUGCUUGGAUCAGCGGCCACUUAUAUUAUUGGACCAACUUUUGUACUUACAGACGGACCACCUAACCCAGAAUUAAUUAGAAAUAAAAUUAUGAUGAUGUUAUAUGCAUGUAGUGCUACGUGUAUAAGUUCCACGACAAUGGUUUUUCUUUUCUUCCCCAAACAUGUUCAACCAGUGAGUUAUACCUCAAAAAUCUCGAUGCUAUCACAUAGGUCUGGUGAUCUGAUAAAUUCAUUUAAAGAACUAAUAAUACAUCGUCAAAUGUGGUACGUUUUGAUGGCUUUUGCUCUUUCUUAUUCUAUUUCAUCACCUUGGUCAGCCAUAAUACCAGCUACAUUUUCCAAAUUGCAUGUUCCUCGAGAAUUAAGUGUGCAAUGUGGUUUAUAUUUAAUUCUUCAUAAUUUUUUGCUGAGUUUGUCCAUGAGUGCAUUUGCUGACAAAUUUCCGGGGUAUAGCAAAGAAAUUGUCUUGUGUAGUCGUUUGGUAUCAUUAGCGUCACUUUUUUGGCUUAUGGUCAUGAUGAAUUUUCGUGAUCAUGGGAAAUUAUCAUCAACAAUAUUGGUUUGUGUUAUUUUAGUUGCAUUUCCAUACUCAUGGUGUAACUCUAGCCUUUUAUAUGAAAUGGGUACUAAUUUGAUGUUUCCCAUGGCAGAAAGUUAUGUUGGCGGUUACAUGACAUUGAUGAAUAAUUUUUUUGUUGAUUGUGUUUAUUUAUUACUCUAUGCUUUUCCUAAAUUCGAUGAAUAUUGGAUACAUUUUGGAGUUUUUUUUUGUUCAUUAUUAAGCAUAAUAUUUUUACUACUGACACCUAAUAUAACAAAAGAAACUUAUUUGUGUAAAAGCACAUGACGAUUUAAAGAAGAUUACACGUAAAUUAUACAAUUGUUUCGAUAACUAUAAAUUGUUAAAUAAUCAAAUCGAAGAUAUGGAUUUUCACAAGAAAUUUACUCCCAAUUUUGAAAAUUUAUUAUUAGACUGGAACACGUUGAUUCAAAAGAGUGAUCAAAACGAUCUAUUAACCAUUGUAUUUAAUAUAGCUGAUCAUGUUUGUUUUACAUUAGUAGGCGAUGAUAUUGCAAAUAAGACACAUUUUGAAAGAUGUAUGGAAUCAGCGAAGAUGUGUUGUAAUAUAUAUGCUAAAAAUGUUUAUGCUUUGGGAAUAAUUGAUGAAUCGAGAGAAGUGAUUAUAAUACAACAAAAUCCUUAUGAACACUUAGUUGAAGCAAGGAGUGAAAAAAAAAAAGUUUUACCAACGUUACUUCAAGAUGAUGGCAUGAUUAUUGAAACCGAUUGCCAACCGACAGAAGGUGCUCAAAUAGUUGUAUUGUCCAAAGAUACCGAAGAUGUAGAUUUCAUUAAGAUGAAUGUUUAUUUUUAAGUUGUGAAAUUCAUAAUGGAGGACUGAUUUGUUUUUAUUGUAAUUUAACUAAUUAAAAAUAUUUAAUUUGUAAAAAUUAUAUAAGGCAUUGAAUAAUAAUAAAAAUUUCUGUUGUUUACAAUA